rnacentral:rRNA from 1 species
GACCUGAUGCAGCCAUGCCGCGUGUGUGAAGAAGGCCUUCGGGUUGUAAAGCACUUUCAGUUGUGAGGAAAGGUUGGUAGUUAAUACCUGCCAGCUGUGACGUUAACAACAGAAGAAGCACCGGCUAACUCCGUGCCAGCAGCCGCGGUAAUACGGAGGGUGCGAGCGUUAAUCGGAAUUACUGGGCGUAAAGCGCACGCAGGCGGCUUGUUAAGCUAGAGGUGAAAGCCCCGCGCUCAACGUGGGAACUGCCUUUAGAACUGGCAGGCUAGAGUCUUGGAGAGGGGAGUGGAAUUCCAGGUGUAGCGGUGAAAUGCGUAGAUAUCUGGAGGAACAUCAGUGGCGAAGGCGGCUCCCUGGCCAAAGACUGACGCUCAUGUGCGAAAGUGUGGGUAGCGAACAGGAUUAGAUACCCUGGUAGUCCACACCGUAAACGCUGUCUACUAGCUGUUUGUGUAUUUAAUACGUGAGUAGCGAAGCUAACGCGCUAAGUAGACCGCCUGGGGAGUACGGCCGCAAGGUUAAAACUCAAA